GUGUGUGUGUGUGUGUGUGUGUGUGUGUGUGUGUGUAUGAGAGAGAGAGAGAGAGAGAGGGACAGGGGAAAGAAGUAAAUCUGAAGCACAGUGAAGGAAGAAGGGACAAUGCAGGUAAACUGAAUCUAAAACAGAAGACUUUGCAGAUUCAGAAGGAAUUUCUUAGUGAAUGCUAUUUCUCUCUGCAUACAACAGCCCUGUUUUGAUGCUAGUAACAGAGGAGUGUGCAAUAGAAACUGUUCGCCUUUUUUAUAUACUUGUUUAUUUCCUGGAUGAAAACAAAAAGAAGGAAGAAGGCUGGGCUCACUGCAUCAGCAAACCACAGUGAAAGCUUCCAGCAGAGCGCAGCACAAGAAGAAGGCUAAGAUCUCACGCAGAUGAAGAAAUCUAUCCUUGCGUUCUUGAAUUCUGUGCUCAGACUGACUACUAGACUGACAGAAAGACCUGAAAGAUGUAAUUGUAAGUCAUACAUGUACAGGGAGGCCAUCGCUCAGUGUACUGUAACCACAUUCUUCAGAGGGAAACAAAAUGAAUUCUGUUUCUAGUAUCAGUGUGUUUUACCAGUGCCAGUUAUGUUAGUUUGUGCACGUACGUUUUACUCAUGGCAGAACUCUAUGCUGUAAAUAAUAGAUACAGACAUUUUAUGGAUUGUGAUUUUCUUACUUCUUUUCCAUUUUUUCUUUGAAUUUCAUGCGAUUUAAUUUGAUGUUACAAUAGCUACAUGAACUGUUGCUAAAAACUUAAAUGACUGAUCGAGGUAUAGUUUCUAUGGUCAGUGGGUGUUUUAAAUAGGUAAGUCAUUAGUUGAACAGUCUUGAAAGCUCUUACUUGACCUCUUAACCUUUUCUUUUCCAAAUCCAGUGAGGUCUGCAAAAAACUUCCCUCUUAAAACAGACAAAUUUCAAGCAACAGUAUCCUGAGUAAAUGAGCAAAUUCUAAAAGAAAAAAAAAUGUCAGAGGCUUUUGACUACUUUUAAAUGUUUUAUAUGUAAUAAUAGCAAAAAAGGUGAUGUCCUUUUAGAACUUGAAAAGAUCCAGUUAUUUUAUAUUAGCAAUGGUCAGUUGUACAGAGCUGGCUUCACACUGCAGUCAAAACUGACACCAGGAUGCACAUCUGUAGCAGCACCAGUCAAGUUAACACUUUUAUUUAUUUUCCAGUUGCAAAAUAAAAGUAUAUGCUAUUGAUGCUAUGCAUGAACAUGUGAAAAAGGUAUCCUGAAGAAAAGUAUUAUAAAUAAGGUAUUUGUGUUCAAUUUGUUUUCUAUAAAACUGUAACAAUGCCAAAAAAAUAAAUUUGAGAGCAUGCUAAUUUGAGCCUGAA